rnacentral:rRNA from 1 species
UGAGGAAUAUUGGUCAAUGGRCGARAGCCUGAACCAGCCAAGUCGCGUGAAGGAUGAAGGUUCUAUGGAUUGUAAACUUCUUUUAUAGGGGAAUAAAGUGCRGGACGUGUCCUGUUUUGUAUGUACCCUACGAAUAAGCAUCGGCUAACUCCGUGCCAGCAGCCGCGGUAAUACGGAGGAUGCGAGCGUUAUCCGGAUUUAUUGGGUUUAAAGGGUGCGUAGGUGGAUAGAUAAGUCAGCGGUGAAAGUUUGUGGCUCAACCAUAAAAUUGCCGUUGAAACUGUUUAUCUUGAGUAUGUUUGAGGUAUGCGGAAUGCGUGGUGUAGCGGUGAAAUGCAUAGAUAUCACGCAGAACUCCGAUUGCGAAGGCAGCAUACUAAACCAUCACUGACACUGAAGCACGAAAGCGUGGGUAUCAAACA